GGAUCGAUUACCUACCUAGGCAAAGCCAGGCUGAGGCCACGCGCGGUCCGUCUUGUCUCGCCGCAAACCUAACGAAAGCCGCAGGCUUGCGUCUCGUCUCGUCUCCGUCGCUAGGGUUUCGGUCUCCCCGAACUCGAUCUUCAGCGAGGGCACCAGCCGGUGCUCUUGGUUUUGUUGUGGCGGCCUGAGAGAUGCCGCCCAAGUCGGUUAAGAGGGGCGGCGCCGCGGCGGCGAGGAAGGGGUCGGCGACCAAGGCCAGGGCGGCCAAGCCCCAGCCGCACGCGGAGGAGGCGCCCGUCGAGGUCGUCAAGGCCGCGGAGGAGGCUCCCAAGGUGGAGGAGCAGAAGCCGCAGCCGUCGCCGCCGCCGCAGCAGCCGGCCGCUGAGGAGAAGGCCAAGGCGGUUGCCGUUGAGAACGGCGCAAGCCACGCGCAAGAUGACGGAACUGCAAAAGAAACAUAUGAAGAAGAGGACAAAGGUGAACGACUGGAGUUUGAGGAUGAGCCCGAAUAUGAAGAGGAGCCUGUUGUAGACUACGACGAGAAGGAUUUGGAGCAGUAUGAGGAGCAAUAUGAAGACGGUGAUGAAGGGUUGGAGUACACUGAAGAUGUAGUCGAAGAGGAGACUGAGAUGGUGGAUGAGGAGGAGCUGGAUAAUGGCGGGGAUGAUGAUGAGGGCGAGGAAUAUGAAAAUGCAGAUGAAGACCAUGAUGUGGACGUGGAGGACGAAGACCAUCAUGAAAUGGUGAAAGCACAUCGCAAGAGGAAGGAGUUUGAAGUUUUUGUUGGUGGGCUAGAUAAAGAUGCAACAGAAAGUGACCUGAGGAAGGUGUUCAGUGAAGUCGGCGAGAUCACUGAAGUUCGUUUGAUGAUGAACCCUGUUACCAAGAAGAAUAAAGGCUUUGCCUUCCUGCGAUUUGAGACCGUGGAGCAAGCAAAGCGUGCUGUCUCAGACCUGAAAAAUCCGAUGGUGCGAGGUAAACAAUGCGGUGUUGCUCCUAGUCGUGACAACGACACACUUUUUGUUGGCAAUAUCUGCAAGACAUGGACAAAAGAACAUCUGAAGGAUAAGCUGAAGAUCUAUGAGGUCGAGAAUUUUGACGAUUUAAUAUUGGUUGAGGACAGCAAUAACCCAGGGAUGAAUCGUGGGUAUGCUUUACUUGAGUUUUCUACUCGCCCUGAAGCUAUGGAUGCUUUCAGGCGGUUGCAGAAGAGGGAUGUAGUCUUUGGAGUUGAUCGCACUGCAAAGGUUUCCUUUGCCGAUUCCUACCCUGAAGUCGAUGAUGAAAUGAUGGCACAGGUCAGAACUGUAUUUCUUGAUGGUCUCCCCCCGUCAUGGGAAGAAGAUCGUGUUAAGAAGUACCUUAAAAAGUAUGGAGCUAUCGAAAAAGUUGAACUCGCUCGAAACAUGCCUGCGGCCAAAAGAAAAGAUUUUGGAUUUGUUACUUUUGAUACGCAUGAUAAUGCUGUUGCAUGUGUUGAUGGGAUAACUAGUUCUGAGAUUGGUGAAGGUGAUAGCAAGGCAAAAGUGAGAGCCAGAUUGUCAAGGCCAGUACAGAGACCUCCUAGAAUGAAGCAUGGAUUAAGAGGAAAUUUCAGGAUUGGGCAUAGUGCUCCUCGAGGUGGCCGUUUCCCAUACACCCGGCCUCCUCCACGCCGGCCUCUGCCACGUCUUGUACGACCUGAUACUCGCUUACCUCCCGUCAGGAGGCCUCCACUGAAGAGGCCAAUGGAUAUUAGAGAUAGACGCCCUGUUAUGUCAAUACCAGAUAGAGUUAGGCGUUUGCCUCCUCCAGAGAGAUCCUAUGAUAGAAGGCCCCCAGCUCCUGUUUACCCAAAGAGAAGUCCAAGGAGGGAAUAUGGAAGACGUGAUGAACCUCCUCCGCCAAGGAGCAGAGCUACCUUUGCUGACUACAGUGCAAGAGUUCCAGUGGAUAGGCGACACACUUACAGGGACGACUAUUUGCCCCGUGAAUCAGCCUAUUCAGACCUAGCUCCUCGCAGCGCUCCCCGUCUUUCUGACAGGAGAGCAUAUGCUGAUGAUGGUUAUGUAGAGAAGAUUGACCGACCUUUGCCAACCUAUAGGGAGGCCCGUGGGCGUGAUUAUGAUACAAUAUCUGGUUCAAAACGCUCAUAUGUUGAGAUGGAUGACGUGCCUCCUCGGUAUCACGACAUUAGCGUUCGUCAGCCCAAGGCACGCUUAGAUUAUGAUGUUGGUGGUAGCAGUGCUCGGUAUGCAGAUGCUUAUACUGAGAGGCUUGGGCGGUCUCAUGUGGGAUACAGUAGCGGCAGAUCUGUCGCUGGUCAUGACCCGGUGUACAGCAGCAGCCGCCAUGGCUUGAGUUAUGGAGGUUCUGCAAGUACUGGAGAUGCUGGUGGAAAUUACACUUCAAAUUACAGUGCAGACUACAUGCCUCGUGGAUCUGAUGUUGGCGGGAGUUCAUAUUCAUCACAUUACUCGGGUCGUAACACGGGUAGCAGCAGUGGGUACUUUGGUGGCAGUGGUUCCAGUUCAUACUACUAAGGUGAUCUGGAAGUUUAGUUGCUGCUGAAAAUGGUGACAUUCCAUGAUCUGCUACAGUGAGCCUUUUGCUGCUUAAAAUCUUCCUAUCCAAUGAGUACUCUACAUGGCUACUUGAAAGCUAUAUGUUUAUAUACAAGAAAGGAUUGCAUCGAUGCAAUCUAGUACUUCCUUUUGGUGUCGAUUAAUUUGCCGCAGAUGAAGGCAAGUGCCACUUAAGUAGAAUUUAGGACCACCAUUAAAGUGAGUGGUCCUGACUCCUGAGCAUGCUUGGAUCUAUCCUUUAUCUAUCUGACAUAGCUUCUUCAACAACUGAGCAACCACUUGAGAUGACUAGCAACAAAUGAAAAUUCAGGUUUGCACAUUGACUCGAUGUAGUGUGCUGAUUUUGUAAGCAGGAAACUGUUCCAUGAUGCUGCGGCUUUACAUCCGUGCUCCAUCAUGUGUGGUCCUUGAAUUCCUGUGAACAUUUCUCUCUUGAUUGAUGUGGAAAAUGUGUCUGAAAUGGCCAUCAUUUCUUGAACAGGUAGCAAGAGGAACGACAGAUCUUUGAUCAAACAGCCACAUGCCCUGCACUAUCCUGCAUAUAUGCCUAGAGAAAAAGCAAAGUUACAGGCAAACAGUUUUGGCCAGUGAGCAAGCACAAAAGCAGGAAAAGAAGGGAUUAACCUAAUAAAGCUAAAGCGACCUCCCUUUUGCCCGCA